AGUGAACGCUGGCGGUAGGCCUAACACAUGCAAGUCGAACGGCAGCACAGUAAGAGCUUGCUCUUACGGGUGGCGAGUGGCGGACGGGUGAGGAAUACAUCGGAAUCUACUUUUUCGUGGGGGAUAACGUAGGGAAACUUACGCUAAUACCGCAUACGACCUACGGGUGAAAGCAGGGGAUCUUCGGACCUUGCGCGAUUGAAUGAGCCGAUGUCGGAUUAGCUAGUUGGCGGGGUAAAGGCCCACCAAGGCGACGAUCCGUAGCUGGUCUGAGAGGAUGAUCCGCCACAAUGGAACUGAGACACGGUACAGACUCCUACGGGAGGCAGCAGUGGGGAAUAUUGGACAAUGGGCGAAAGCCUGAUCCAGCCAUACCGCGUGGGUGAAGAAGGCCUUCGGGUUGUAAAGCCCUUUUGUUGGGAAAGAAAAGCAGCAGGUUAAUACCCCGCUGUUCUGACGGUACCCAAAGAAUAAGCACCGGCUAACUUCGUG
rnacentral:rRNA from 1 species